rfam:Phanerochaete carnosa HHB-10118-sp unplaced genomic scaffold PHACAscaffold_7, whole genome shotgun sequence.
GCCCGUUUAGCUCAGUGGUAGAGCGCGCCACUUGUAUUCUCAAAUGCAAUGGUGAGGUCAGUCGUUCAAUCCGGCUAAUGGGCA